UAUACAUAAAGAUUGGCUGACUGACCGACUGGCUACUGAACUAACUACUAACAAACAAAUUAACUCACUAACUUAUCGACUAACUAAAUAAAACUAACACACACACAGACACACACACUAAGGGGAAUGAUAGUGAAGUCUUUCCAGGAUCACUUUUAUUAUUUUAUUCCGUACAGUUAAUUUUCAGUGAGUAGGACUGACCGGUGGACGUGAGGGUACGGCCGAGAGAGAGAGAGAGAGAGAGAGAGAGAGAGGGAGAGGGAGAGGAUUUGCUAACUUUUUUCCUUCUCUUCCUCAGGACAUUCUUGGGACAUUCUUGAGGAUCCCAGUCCAGGAUCUCUCAGGAAAGGAAAAGGAUAACACAGCCAUACCAGGAAAGAAGGUAUUGGUGGAUCUUCAAAGGCGCCCCUUGGUUCUGCCUCACCUGUCUCACGCAUCAAUGGUUACG